UAGGGAAUCUUCGGCAAUGGACGAAAGUCUGACCGAGCAACGCCGUGUGAGUGAAGAAGGUUUUCGGAUCGUAAAACUCUGUUGGUAGAGAAGAACGUUGGUGAGAGUGGAAAGCUCAUCAAGUGACGGUAACUACCCAGAAAGGGACGGCUAACUACGUGCCAG
rnacentral:rRNA from 1 species